GCGGGGAUAGCUCAGUUGGGAGAGCGUCAGACUGAAGUCAACUUCAGCAGUCAAUCUGAAGGUCGUGUGUUCGAUCCACACUCACCGCA